CCAGACACCAGGACGGGAGUUCUUACUUCGCGUAUCAUAUCUUGAAAUCUAUAAUGAGGUGAUAAAUGACUUGCUUGAUCCAACUGUGCAAAACUUGCGUGUCCGUGAAGAUGCACAGGUCCUUAUAAUCCCUUAAUGAGGCGGCUCACAUUGCAAAUGGCUCUCAUCCCGAAAUUGCAUCUUUCUCCUUAGCAUCAAUGUUUGAUAGAGCAGUGGUACAAAGUGAUGGACAUUGAAUUAAUUGGGCUCAUUUUUAAAAAAAAAAACAUCCACGUUUAAUCAUGUUGAUCUACUCAUGAGGUAGCAAGCAACUCAUCACAGACCAUUGAGUUUAUGCUGCAGGAAAGAUGCACCGACGAAUCCGAAAGUCUGGUUGCCUACACAACCCUUGAUGUAGACUAUGUUCAGCUAUCUAUGAGCUAUCUAUGAAUGGGAAAGAUCCAUCCUGUAUUCCUAUUCUUUCCUUUGGGUUUGUGAUUGUACCAAUGAAACAAAACAACAACAUCGAUACAGAAGACCCUGGUUGUUUCCUGACAAUAGGCCUCCAAGUUCUUGCCGCACCGUCCCAAAUGUAAAGCUCAACCUUUCAAGGAUUAUAUCGACCUUAAUA